AUGAAUAAAAAAAGACCACGACCAAGAUGUCACGUGAACCGUUCCAUAGCCAAAUCUGCUCUAUGACGAAUUAACGCAAUGAGCGUGACGUGGUCUAACAUGUGGUAACAUUUCGCAGCGCGAGCAGGUUAAACGCUAUCGUCAGCGACCCCCUGAUGACGCUAAAGAAGCACCAGCAUAUUCAAUCUACUGAUUUGCACUGGGGUUAACUGAGGAAACUAAAUUACUGUAGGGAUUUGCUGCACCAAAAGUGUUUCUCUUCUCUACAUGCUGAAGGUUAGGAAGAUUGAUAACAACGUGCAAACAACAAAUGCAUAAGCUACACAUUCACACACAUGCACAGAGGCCCAAAUAGAUUUCCUGUCUGCUUUGUGAUAGGAAUAUUGUCAGCCAUUUCAGCUCAAGAGUGUGUGUUUAUGGUUCAGAGGCUGUGCUGAGAACCUGCAGCGCUGCUGUUAAUUAAAUUAGCCUCAACCUCUAUGCAUGCAGAGAGACAAAGAGGGAACAUUAGUUAUCAUAUCUUGAUGCCUUCUUACACUUUGUUUAAUUGAAAAGGGGAGAGAAUGUGAAAUGGGACUGUUCUGAUUUGUAACAGGGCUCUUUGGCUAGAAGUAGGCAUUAAUUUAAAAUGGAUGGGCUAUGUCCCUAUUGAAUGUUACAUGCUUAUAGUGAUUAGGCACUAUGACUAUAGCCAGAAAAAGGGAUAACCUAGGUUCCAUUAUGCAGAUUCUCAUUGUUCACAUAUCCAAAUUAUAUAUAUGCAGUAACUGCAGCAUAUCUAAAGUAACAUUUGAAUGUCUUUCAUUAAAAUAACCAUGAAUAAAAGCAUCACCAGAUUAAUGUAUUUCGUUUUAAUGUUUAGAUCCAGUAAAUCUGUUUUUCAUCUAGUCUCUUAGCAUGAUUCACUUUUUGUUUUUGCUUAUUGUUGUUAUACGAUUUGCUGUCUUGUCUUCGGUGUGCUAAUGUGUUUUGCACUUAAAGGCCACUGUAGUAACCCCAUGCCAUCUUCCAUAAGAUGCACGGCUCAUAGAGCUGAAGACCAUCAUUAGAUAACACAGUGGUAAUUAUCUAAUAAAUGAGUGUGUGACAUGACAUGUAGCCAAACACGGAGUGACUUCUCAGAUGGGUUAACCGUACCAGCCAGAUCACGCGAUAAGCAAAUAAGUGCCAAUGUUCAGGUGCAAGCAACCAGCUGAGGAUAAAAGCCCAUUGUAGUUUAUUCUCUGUGGGAAAUAUGUCUGCAUGUGUUAGCUGA